rnacentral:rRNA from 1 species
UACAGAGGUGGCGAGCGUUGUUCGGAUUUACUGGGCGUAAAGGGCGCGUAGGCGGUUCCGUAUGUCGAGUGUGAAAUCUCCGGGCUCAACCCGGAAAGUGCGCUCGAAACUGCGGAUCUCGAGCCUGGGAUGGGAGAGCGGAAUACACGGUGUAGCGGUGAAAUGCGUUGAUAUCGUGUAGAACACCGGUGGCGAAGGCGGCUCUCUGGAACAAGGCUGACGCUGAGGCGCGAAAGUUGGGGGAGCAAACAGG